GCGACCUAGCUGGCUGGGGCAGGGGAGGGGCCCGCCUUAUAUGGGAGCUGCGUGGGGACAAACUGCUCGGGCCCAACGCGCGGGGCUGAGAGACCGCCACGCCUGCUCCGGGUCACUCCGGCCACCUGGGGGGCGUCGGCGCGCAGACUCUGGCCAGUUCAGUAUUCAAACUCUUCAGGAGUGCUAACUUACUCAUGACAGCGAUUUUCUGUAUCGGGGUUUCAUUGGUCGGUGGUUUAGAAGGUUUUGCUCAUUCAUUCGUUAAUGUAAUUCCAACAACCUACACGUGUUUAUAAGCCCCCUUUCCAUCCACGACUUUGCAGUCUGGCACAAAACGGACCAUCGCAGCCCGGCAGCCGCUUUAGACAACAAACAGCAUGCCUGGAGCUUUUCAAUAGGAGGCAGUAAGGCUUGAUGAUCACAGACGAUACGGAACGGGCACUUUCUUAGCAGAAAAUAUUUCUAUUGGGGCGUGAAGGAAGUUUCUGAAAGGGAAGAUUAUUAUAAGAUAAGGGGUUUGCUCAUCUUCUCAGACUUUAGUGUGCCUGCUUUAAAGUGUUUUGCAAACUUGAAUGUUUAAAGGAAUCACCUGGCGGUCUUGUGAAACUGCAGCUUCUAAUGAGCAAGUCAGAGGGGAAGCCUGAGACGUGGCAUUUCCAGCACGUUCGGGGAGUGAAGAUGCUGUCGGCUGCCACCCUCCCUGCAAGGAGCCAGGGGAUAGAUGACCUCUACGCAAACUGUGAGAGCUUAAAAUAACUGAUAGUGAAAAACAGUUACAGAAGCUCUAGGCCGGGCACGGUGGCUAAUGCCUGUAAUCCCAGCACUUUGGGAGGCCGAGGAGGAUGGAUUGCCAGAACUCAGGAGUUCGAGACCAGCCUGGGCAACACGGUAAAACCCUGUCUCUACGACAAAACAAAACAAACAAAAAUAAAAGCCACGCAUGGUGGCGUGUGCUUGUAGUCCCAGCUACUCAGGAGGCUCAGGUGGGACAAUCGCUUGAGCACAGAAGGCGGAGGUUGCAGUGAGCCAAGAUCGCACCACUGUACUCCAACCUGAGUGAUAGAGUGAGACCCAAUCUCAAAAAAAAAAAAAAAAAAAAAAAAAAAGCUGUAAAUCCAAGGCCUAAAAGCUCCCCUCAAUGGGAAGUGGAAUCUCUUUCUCCACCUCUUCAAUAUGGCUGGCCCUGGAACUUCCCUUGGCACACAGAAUGCAGCAGAAUUGGCUUCAUAUUGUUUCUAAGCCUUGGCCUCAGAGGCCUUGCAUGCUUCCUAACCCUGGCUCUAGGAAACUUGCUGCUGUCAUGUAAUCAAGCCCAGGCUAACCUGCUGAAUGUUGGUGUGUCCCAGUCAAAUCCAGCACUGCAACCAAUAGCCAGCCAGCCACCAGACAUGUGAGUGGGGCCACCUCACACCAGCCAACCUCCACCAAGUCAUCAGAUGUAUGAGUGAGAACAGCCCAGAACAACUGAGCCCGUCCAGACCAGCGGAACGACCAAGCUGACCAGUAGACUUAGGAGCAGUAAACAGAUGAUUGUUC
rnacentral:lncRNA from 1 species